AUCAAGACAGAAUUGCAAUCAAUUCCAAAACUGUUCUGGCAUAUUAAAACCAAAAGAAGAGAAAUUACUGGAAAUAUAUCCUUUGUGGGCUUCAAUUAUCAGCUAGCCAGUGUGAGAGAUCAUUGAGAGAGGGAGAGGAGGAGGGGGAGAGACAGUGUGUGUGUGUGUGUGUGUGUGUGUGUGUGUGUAGCAAGCACUUCUAUGUAUGCCAAGGAUAUUUAAGUCAACACGUUGCCUGUUGCUUCUAAGUGGCAACGACAAUGCUAGUGAAAGAGUUAUUUGAUAAGUGUUGCUCUCCACUGUUAAGUCUCAAACAAGUUUCCUCCAGCCAUACUGUUUACAUGAGAGAAUCUAUAACCGAGAGAGAGUAAGUUCACAAUAUUGAUCAGUGCACAAGCAAUGGAAAGAAGAGUCUAAUGUGGAAAAAGAAAACAAAAACAAAAUCAAAACCAAAUUCAAGGUUCAACACUUCAGGUUUUGCAAUGUUGCAGUUUAGCAUUAAUGACGUGAGAUGAAAGAAGUUUCUUUCAAGGUAGUCAACAGGUCUCAAGAUGGAAUGAGUUCAGUUUUUAAUUACUGCAGCAAUACAAGUUGACGAAACUCUAUUUGAUUAGCUUCUGCACAGAAAGAAACACUACGCAACAGGCAUAAUACAGAGUGUACACAUAACAGACAUGGAUGGAUGGAGAAAGAGAAAGAAGAGGUGAAGGUGAAGAAGAAACAGGAGGAAGAAGGUGAAGAAGAAGAAGAGGAGGAGGAGGUGGAGGUCACACAAAAAGAAGGGUGUAAAAGAAGGAAGAUUGAAUAUGACCAAAGAAAAAAAUAAAUCAAGAUAAUUACAGAAAACUAAAGGAGAGUACACAAUGUGAAAGAGACUUCAAGCUUUCGACUAUAUUUCACUAACCUAGACAAAUUAAAGAAGAUAUCUAAUAAUGAGGACAAACCAAAAAAAAAAAAAAAAAAAAAAAAAAAAAAAAAAAAAAAGACUGACCAAUCUUUUUCUAAUAUUCCACUAAACAGCAUGGGAUAUUCUUAAUUAAAAGUCUUCUCUUGAUCAA